AGUGAACGCUGGCGGUAGGCCUAACACAUGCAAGUCGAACGGCAGCACAGUAAGAGCUUGCUCUUACGGGUGGCGAGUGGCGGACGGGUGAGGAAUACAUCGGAAUCUACUUUUUCGUGGGGGAUAACGUAGGGAAACUUACGCUAAUACCGCAUACGACCUACGGGUGAAAGCAGGGGAUCUUCGGACCUUGCGCGAUUGAAUGAGCCGAUGUCGGAUUAGCUAGUUGGCGGGGUAAAGGCCCACCAAGGCGACGAUCCGUAGCUGGUCUGAGAGGAUGAGCAGCCACACUGGAACUGAAACACGGUCCGGACUCCUACGGAAGGCAGCAGUGGGGAAUAUUGGACAAUGGGCGCAAGCCUGAUCCAGCCAUACCGCGUGGGUGAAGAAGGCCUUCGGGUUGUAAAGCCCUUUUGUUGGGAAAGAAAAGCAGCAGGUUAAUACCCCGCUGUUCUGACGGUACCCAAGGAAUAAGCACCGGCUAACUUCGUG
rnacentral:rRNA from 1 species